rnacentral:rRNA from 1 species
CUUAGCGGCGGACGGGUGAGUAAUGCUUAGGAAUCUGCCUAUUAGUGGGGGACAACGUUUCGAAAGGAACGCUAAUACCGCAUACGUCCUACGGGAGAAAGCAGGGGAUCUUCGGACCCUGUGCUAAUAGAUGAGCCUAAGUCGGAUUAGCUAGUUGGUGGGGUAAAGGCCUACCAAGGCGACGAUCUGUAGCGGGUCUGAGAGGAUGAUCCGCCACACUGGGACUGAGACACGGCCCAGACUCCUACGGAAGGCAGCAG